UAUUAAAGCAAAAUCUGACUUGGAAUUAAAACCUUUAUGGUCGACAAGUAGUUCACAGUUGAAGGUGUUUUUGACUAUUACAAACCUGCUAUGGAACCAUCUCCAAGACCAUUUAUAGGUAAGUUGCAUCACUAGAAAGCACAUUAUACAACUUUUCAUGGAAUAAGGAGGCGAUUGGCUGGAAAGUGUUUAGCCUUCGUCUACCACUCUUCCUCUGCCGCAUCUUGCUUUCCCUACAAUUGCAAUUGCAAUUCUGAUUCCAGGUAAGAACGAGACAAUGAACAAGAGUCUUACUCGGUUAGUGAAGACGGCGAUUCAUGUGGUCAUCACCUGUAGCUUGUAGGGAGCCUGAAUGCACCAGAAAAGAAAAGCUAGGGGAUGGAGGGAGACCCUCUAAAGGUUCAACUUUAGCCUAAUUAGCUUAAGAAAUUAUAUGAUUCUUUCGGUUGUUGCAUUUUAUUACAUACUUGUGUCUGAUCUUUAGGCAGUAGAUGGUUGGAAUUGGUUUGUUACAGGGAUUUCAUUCUUAGAGCCAAGUAUUUGUAUUCAUGAGAAACAUUUAUGAUGUGCAGUAAAUUCUUUUUGAUCC